rnacentral:rRNA from 1 species
UACGUAGGGGGCAAGCGUUGUCCGGAAUCAUUGGGCGUAAAGCGCGUGUAGGCGGCUCGGUAAGUCCGCUCUGAAAGCCCGGGGCUCAACCCCGGGAGGCGGGUGGAUACUGCUGAGCUCGAGUCCGGAAGAGGAGUGUGGAAUUCCUGGUGUAGCGGUGAAAUGCGCAGAUAUCAGGAGGAACACCGGUGGUGUAGACGGCUCUCUGGACCGUAACUGACGCUGAGACACGAAAGCGUGGGUAGCAAACAGG